GCACCUACCGAUUGAAUGGUUCGGUGAAAAUCUCGGACUGCGGCUUGGAUGCCUUCGGGCAACCAAGCUGUGAAAGUUGUUUAAACCUCAUCAUUUAGAGGAAGGUGAAGUCGUAACAAGGUUUCUGUAGGUGAACCUGCAGAAGGAUCAAGGUCGGGAGGGCACACGUCUGAACUCCCGUCACAUGUCCUUAUAUCGUAUACCCUCUCCUGCGUUAAAAAAAAAACAAACACUAUGUUACAGCCCCCUACCACUCCAUAGUGCACGCAUAAUUUUU
rnacentral:misc_RNA from 1 species